UACGGAGGGGGCUAGCGUUAUUCGGAAUUAUUGGGCGUAAAGGGCGCGUAGGCGGCCCGGUAAGUCAAAGGUGAAAUCCCUCGGCUCAACUGAGGAACUGCAUUUGAAACUGGCGGGCUUGAGUAUGGCAGAGGGGGGUGGAAUUCCGCGUGUAGCAGUGAAAUGCGUAGAUAUCUGGAGGAACACCGGUGGCGAAGGCGGCAUCCUGGACCGGUAUUGACGCUGAGGCGCGAAAGCCAGGGGAGCAAACGGG
rnacentral:rRNA from 1 species